rnacentral:lncRNA from 1 species
CAUGUUCUCUGUUCUCAGCAUUAUACUGUGAUGUAAAGUCCUCUAUUUCUUUCUCUAUUGAAGCAGAUAGCAGGUAGCAGGUAAUAGGUAGCAGAUAGCAGGUAGCAGAUAGCAGGUAGCAGCUGGCAGGUAGCAGAUAGCAGGUAGCAGAUAGCAGGUAGCAGAUAGCAGGUAGCAGGUAAUAGGUAGCAGAUAGCAGGUAAUAGGUAGCAGAUAGCAGGUAGCAGAUAGCAGGUAGCAGGUAGAAGUUAGCAGAUAGCAGGUAAUAGGUAGCAGUUAGCAGGUAACAGGUAGCAGAUAGCAGGUAGAAGAUAGCAGGUAGAAGUAGGCAGGUAGCAGAUAGCAGGUAAUAGGUAGCAGAUAGCAGGUACCCUGUUAGCAGGUAAUAGGUAGCAGAUAG